rnacentral:rRNA from 1 species
UACAGAGGGUGCGAGCGUUAAUCGGAAUUACUGGGCGUAAAGCGUGCGUAGACGGUAGCGUAAGUCAGAUGUGAAAUCCCCGGGCUUAACCUGGGAACUGCGUUUGAAACUACAAGGCUAGAGUGUGGCAGAGGGGGGUGGAAUUCCACGUGUAGCAGUGAAAUGCGUAGAGAUGUGGAGGAACACCGAUGGCGAAGGCAGCCCCCUGGGUUAACACUGACGCUCAGGCACGAAAGCGUGGGGAGCAAACAGG